GCCUACUUGGAGAAAUUGGUAAACUCAAUCCUUUUAAACAGGGUAGCUUUUUAAGCUUGAGGGUUCAAGUCCCUCAGUAGGCA
rfam:Basidiobolus meristosporus CBS 931.73 K493scaffold_613, whole genome shotgun sequence.